rnacentral:lncRNA from 1 species
AUCUGCACGGAUUUUCAAAAAUCUGAACACGAAUCCGACUAUCAAACCUAAAAUUCGAACUUGAACUCAAAUCCGACAUAUUUUAAAAAUUCAUAUCCAAAUCUGAACCCGACAAAAAAACUGAAACCCGAAGUCUAACCCGAAUACACGCACGCAUGCGCACACAUGUAUAUUAAUGUAAAAUCAAUUUGGGUUUAGGUCGGAUUCGGGCUCGGAUCAGAUACAAUCAAAAUUCAUAUCCAAAUCUAAAUCCGCUAAGUUUUAAUUUUUGAUAUCCAUAUCUGAAACAGUAUCCAUUUCGAUAGAAUAAAUUCUCUCUGUUUGAAUUUGAAUUCGGGUAAAAUUUCGGAUAUCCGUACCCUUGACAUUCCUAGU